rnacentral:rRNA from 1 species
UACAGAGGGGGGCAAGCGUUGUUCGGAAUUACUGGGCGUAAAGGGCGCGUAGGCGGCUUGCUAAGUCAGACGUGAAAUCCCUCGGCUCAACCGGGGGAACCGCGUCUGAUACUGGCGAGCUUGAAUUCGGGAGAGGGAUGUGGAAUUCCAGGUGUAGCGGUGAAAUGCGUAGAUAUCUGGAGGAACACCGGUGGCGAAGGCGGCAUCCUGGACCGAGAUUGACGCUGAGGCGCGAAAGCCAGGGGAGCAAACGG